CCUACGGGGCGCUGCAGUGGGGAAUAUUGGACAAUGGGGGCAACCCUGAUCCAGCCAUGCCGCGUGUGUGAAGAAGGCCCUCGGGUUGUAAAGCACUUUCAGUGAGGAAGAACGCCUGGUGGUUAAUACCCAUCAGGAAAGACAUCACUCACAGAAGAAGCACCGGCUAACUCCGUGCCAGCAGCCGCGGUAAUACGGAGGGUGCGAGCGUUAAUCGGAAUUACUGGGCGUAAAGCGCGCGUAGGUGGCUUGAUAAGCCGGUUGUGAAAGCCCCGGGCUCAACCUGGGAACGGCAUCCGGAACUGUCAAGCUAGAGUGCAGGAGAGGAAGGUAGAAUUCCCGGUGUAGCGGUGAAAUGCGUAGAGAUCGGGAGGAAUACCAGUGGCGAAGGCGGCCUUCUGGACUGACACUGACACUGAGGUGCGAAAGCGUGGGUAGCAAACAGGAUUAGAUACCCCGGUAGUC
rnacentral:rRNA from 1 species